AAGACUAUACUUUCAGGGAUCAUUUCUAUAGUUUGUUACUAGAGAAGUUUCUCUGAUCGUGUAGAGCACCCGAAACCACGAGGAGGAGAUGCAGUGUUCUCUCCUGAGCGUGAAGCCGGUCCUUGGUGUUGCUUCUGCAGCUGCCAUUGGCCAUUGAUGAUCGUUCUUCUCUUCCUUUGGGAGAGUGAGAGUGAGAGUGAGAGUGAGAGGGGGAGGACACCAUCUGAGUGGUU
ensembl:snoRNA ACEA small nucleolar RNA U3